GGGAUUGUGGCUCAGUGGUUGAGUGCUUGCUUAGUAUGCAGGAAGCCCUGGGUUUAAUCCCCAGCACCCG
rnacentral:tRNA from 1 species